CAGUUACAAGUUGCUGGAGGGCAGCUGGUAUUAACUCAUCACCAGGGAGAGAGCACAGACAGGCAGGGGCAUGUAGUGCUCACUGGUCCUGUUCCUUCUCAUCCUUCCAGCAACUCCAAGAAAACAAUCUGAACCUAAGACAACAGACGCAGCUGCACCUGGGACAGCAGACACAGCUGGGCCUGGGACAAUGGACACAGCUGUACCUAGAAAAGCAGAAACAGCUGUGCCUGGGAAAAGGAACACAGCUGUGCCUGGAACAGCAGACCCAGCUUCACCUGGGACAGCAGACACAGCAGAACCUAUGAGAACAACCACUCCAACAGUUCUGGCCUCCUGGCCUUCUCUCACCCAGAGCACCAACAGCACCCAGCCCACGGCUCUUACCAGCCCCCUCACCAGCUUCUGGAGGCCACCCGUGUUCCUUGGCUCAUGGCCCCCUCCUACCCAAAGCCAGCAAAGGUCGGUGGAGUCUCCCACAGAGCAUCGCUCCACUGUCUCUCCUGCCUCCCUCUUUCAUUUAUAAGGACGCUGGUGAUUCCACUGGGCUCAGCCAGAUGAUCCAGGAUAAUCCACCCUGGGUCACCUGACGAGCAGUCUCAAAUCCACCCACUGCCUUAAUUCCCCCUUGCAUGUAAUAAAACAUAUUCACAGGC
rnacentral:lncRNA from 1 species